UUGGAGGGCAAGUCUGGUGCCAGCAGCCGCGGUAAUUCCAGCUCCAAUAGCGUAUAUUAAAGUUGUUGCAGUUAAAAAGCUCGUAGUUGAAUUUCGGGAUCAGAGUGUCGGUCGUGCCUCGGUACGCACUGGUAUUAUUGGUUCCUACCUUCUGAAGAACCGCGAUGUCAUUAAUUUGGUGUCGUGGGGAAUCAGGACUGUUACUUUGAAAAAAUUAGAGUGUUUAAAGCAGGCUUACGCUUGAAUACAUUAGCAUGGAAUAAUGAAAUAGGACGUUUGAUUCUAUUUUGUUGGUUUCUAGGAUUGACGUAAUGAUUAAUAGGGAUAGUUGGGGGCAUUAGUAUUCAAUUGUCAGAGGUGAAAUUCUUGGAUUUAUUGAAGACUAACUACUGCGAAAGCAUUUGCCAAGGAUGUUUUCAUUAAUCAAGAACGAAAGUUAGGGGAUCGAAGACGAUCAGAUACCGUCGUAGUCUUAACCAUAAACUAUGCCGACUAGGGAUCGGAUGAUGUUAAUUUUUUAAUGACUCAUUCGGCGCCUUACGGGAAACCAAAGUGUUUGGGUUC
rnacentral:rRNA from 1 species